ensembl:lncRNA
AUGGGCUCUUUGGGUCCCUAUGGGGCUCCUAUGGGGCUCUAUGGGAUCCUAUGGGGCUCUAUGGGAUCCUAUGGGGCUCUAUGGGGCUCUAUGGGUUCCUAUGGGGCUCUAUGGGUUUCUAUGGGGCUCUAUGGGACUCUAUGGGUCCCUAUGGGGCUCUAUGGGGCUAUGUGGGGCUCUAUGGGUUCCUAUGGGGCUCUAUGGGAUACUAUGGGGCUCUAUGGGGCUGUGUGGGGCUCUAUGGGGCUAUAUGGGUUCCUAUGGGGCUCUAUGGGACUCUAUGGGUCCCUAUGGGGCUCUAUGGGAUCCUAUGGGGCUCUAUGGGACUCUAUGGGUCCUUAUGGGCUCUAUGGGUUCCUAUGGGGCUCUAUGGGUCCCUAUGGGCUCUAUGGGACUCUAUGGGUCCCUAUGGGGCUCUAUGGGGCUCUGUGGGGCUCUAUGGGUUCCUAUGGGGCUCUAUGGGGCUCUGUGGGGCUCUAUGGGAUCCUAUGGGGCUCUAUAGGACUCUAUGGGUCUGAUUGGAGGAGCUGGGUCGAAGUAACCUGAGGAAGACUCUAUGGGGCUCUAUGGGAUUUAUGUGGGUCUCUAUGGGUCUCUAUGGGAUUUAUAAGGGUCUCUAUGGGGCCCUAUGGAUCUCUGUGAGAUUUAUAUGGUUAUCUGUGGGUCUCUAUGGGUCUCUAUGGGAUUUAUAAGGGUCUCUAUGGGGCUCUAUGGAUUUCUAUGAGACUUAUAUGGUUCUCUGUGGGUCUCUAUGUAAUUUAUAUGGGACUCUGUGAUCUCUAUGGGGCUCUAUGGGAUUUAUAUGGGGCUCUAUGGGAUUGAUAUGGGUCUCUGUGGGGCUCUAUAGGUCUCUAUGGAAUUUAUAUGGGUCUCUAUGGGAUUGAUAUGGGUGUCUAUGGGUCUCUAUGGGAUUGAUAUGGGUGUCUAUGGUCUCUAUGGGAUUUAUAUGGGUCUCUAUGGGGCUCUGUGCGGCUCUAUGGGUCUCUAUGGAAUUUAUAUGGGUCUCUAUGGGAUUGAUAUGGGUCACUAUGGGGCUCUAUGGGGUUUCCUUUAUUAUGGGAUGUUGUGUUGAGGGACAUGGAGGUGAAUGGUUGGAGUGGAUGAUCUUGUAGGUCUUUUCUAACCUUGGUCAUUCCAUGAUUCUAUGAUUCUAAUAUGACCCCAAUAUGGCCCCACUGACCCCAAUAUGGCCCCAUUGACCCCAAUAUGGCCCCACUGACCCCAAUGUGGCCCCAUUGACCCCAAUAUGGCCCCACUGACCCCAACAUGUCCCCACUGAUCCCAACAUGGUCCCGUUGACCCCAAUGUGGCUCCACUGACUCCAACACAGCUCUGUUGACCCCAAUGUGGCCCCAUUGAUCCCAGUGUGGUCCCACUGAUCCCAAUAUGGCCCUGUUGACCCCAACAUGGCCCCACUGAUCCCAACAUGGCCCCAUUGACCCCAAUGUGGCCCCAUUGACCCCACUGACCCCAAUAUGGCCCCUUGGCCCCAGUGCCCUCAUUGAUCUCCAACAUCCCCAUUGACUCCAAUGUGACCCCAUUGAUCCCAAUACCCCACUGACCCCACCAUCCCCAGCGUCCCCAUCAUUCCCCAUGACCCCAUUGAGCCCAAGGUCCCCUAUACCCCCACACCCCCAUCAUCCCAAUGACCCCAUUGACCCCCACAUCCCCCUCCUACAACUCACUGUCACCAGGACCCCCCCAUUUCCCACCCCAAAAUCUACCCACAAGUGACACAGCACCCUCAGCCCAUGUGGGGUGCCACCCUAUAGGCCCACAACCCCAUAACCUCAGCCCCCACCCCAAUGGUGGCCCAGCUCUGCUCACAGGAGCUCAAAAACCCCACAACCCCAUAACCACCCCAUGACCCCAAAGCCCACCACGCUGUAGUGGGUGGUGCUGGACAACCCCAUGGAGAUAAUAUGGGAUCCCACACAUGGAGAUAAUAGGGGAUCCCAUUCACCCCAUAGAGACAAUAUGGGAUCCCACCCAUAGAGAUAAUAUGGGAUCCCACCCACCCCAAUCCUUUAUCACCCUAUAUAGUUUUCUCACCCCUUUUUGGGGGUUCUUGGGGGUCAUUUUGGGGGUCCAUGGUGUCAUUUUGGGGCCGGGAAGUGGGAUGUGGGGCAAAUCAAGGGGAAUCUGAGCCUGCCCUUUAAGGGGCAAAUUAAAUAGGGUUAAAGGCAAUGAGGGGAUAUGGGGUAAAAUAAAUGGAUUUGGGGCCAUGGGGAAGUUGUGGGU